rnacentral:rRNA from 1 species
ACCCGCACAAGCGGUGGAUGAUGUGGAUUAAUUCGAUGCAACGCGAAGAACCUUACCUACCCUUGACAUGUCCGGAACUUGCCAGAGAUGGCUUGGUGCCCGAAAGGGAAUCGGAACACAGGUGCUGCAUGGCUGUCGUCAGCUCGUGUCGUGAGAUGUUGGGUUAAGUCCCGCAACGAGCGCAACCCUUAUCAUUAGUUGCUACGCAAGGGCACUCUAAUGAGACUGCCGGUGACAAACCGGAGGAAGGUGGGGAUGACGUCAAGUCCUCAUGGCCCUUAUGGGUAGGGCUUCACACGUCAUACAAUGGUCGGUACAGAGGGUUGCCAAGCCGCGAGGCGGAGCCAAUCCCACAAAGCCGAUCGUAGUCCGGAUCGCAGUCUGCAACUCGACUGCGUGAAGUCGGAAUCGCUAGUAAUCGUGGAUCAGCAUGUCACGGUGAAUACGUUCCCGGGUCUU